rnacentral:rRNA from 1 species
UACGUAGGCAGCAAGCGUUGUUCGGAGUUACUGGGCGUAAAGGGUGUGUAGGCGGUUUGUUAAGUGGGGGGUGAAAUCUCCCGGCUCAACUGGGAGGGUGCGCUACAAACUGUCUGACUAGAGUGUGGGAUGGGAAAGUGGAAUUCCUGGUGUAGCGGUGAAAUGCGUAGAUAUCAGGAGGAACACCGGUGGUGUAGACGGCUUUCUGGACCAUAACUGACGCUGAGACACGAAAGCGUGGGUAGCAAACAGG